rnacentral:rRNA from 1 species
UACAGAGGGUGCAAGCGUUGUUCGGAAUUACUGGGCGUAAAGCGCGUGUAGGCGGCGGCGUAAGUCGAACGUGAAAGCCCUUGGCUUAACCAAGGAAGUGCAUUCGAUACUGUGUCGCUUGAGUACCGGAGGGGAUGGCGGAAUUCCUGGUGUAGAGGUGAAAUUCGUAGAUAUCAGGAGGAACACCUGUGGCGAAGGCGGCCAUCUGGACGGUGACUGACGCUGAGACGCGAAAGCGUGGGUAGCAAACAGG